GGUGGCUCAGUGGUAGAGCGCUUGCCUUGCAUGCGUGAAACCCUGUGUUCAAUUCCUCAGCACCA
rnacentral:tRNA from 1 species